rnacentral:SRP_RNA from 1 species
UCGUGCUAGAUGGGGAGUUAGCGGUGCCCUGUAGCCUGCAAUCCGCUAUAGCAGGGUUGAAUCCCUCACAGAGAUUGCAAAAUGUGAGGUCUGGCCCAUAAAAGUGGCGUUGAGAGUUGGGUCCCACGCAAUAAAAACUCAUGAACUCCGUCAGAUCCGGAAGGAAGCAGCGGUAAGUGAUAAUUUUUGUGUGCCGUGGAUAAACCUGAUUUGAGUUAACUAUAUGGGUAACGCUUAUAGUUUGUAAAUCGAAGUGAGGUGCACGA